rnacentral:rRNA from 1 species
CCCUUAGAUGUUCUGGGCCGCACGCGCGCUACACUGACGAAUGCAACGAGCCUAUAACCUUGGCCGAAAGGUCUGGGUAAUCUCCAAAUUUCGUCGUGAUGGGGAUAGAUUAUUGCAAUUAUUAAUCUUCAACGAGGAAUGCCUAGUAAGCGCAAGUCAUCAGCUUGCGUUGAUUACGUCCCUGCCCUUUGUACACACCGCCCGUCGCUCCUACCGAUUGAAUGGUCCGGUGAAGCGUUCGGACCGUGGCCUUUGGACGGUUCGCCGUCUGUUGGCUGCGGGAAGUUCGUUAAACCUUAUCAUUUAGAGGAAGGAGAAGUCGUAACA